rnacentral:rRNA from 1 species
GAUGAACGCUGGCGGCGUGCCUAAUACAUGCAAGUCGAGCGAACGGACGAGAAGCUUGCUUCUCUGAUGUUAGCGGCGGACGGGUGAGUAACACGUGGAUAACCUACCUAUAAGACUGGGAUAACUUCGGGAAACCGUAGCUAAUACCGGAUAAUAUUUUGAACCGCAUGGUUCAAAAGUGAAAGACGGUCUUGCUGUCACUUAUAGAUGGAUCCGCGCUGCAUUAGCUAGUUGGUAAGGUAACGGCUUACCAAGGCAACGAUGCAUAGCCGACCUGGGAGGGGGAUCGGCCACACUGGAACUGAGACACGGUCCAGACUCCUACGGGAGGCAGCAGUAGGGAAUCUUCCGCAAUGGGCGAAAGCCUGACGGAGCAACGCCGCGUGAGUGAUGAAGGUCUUCGGAUCGUAAAACUCUGUUAUUAGGGAAGAACAUAUGUGUAAGUAACUGUGCACAUCUUGACGGUACCUAAUCAGAAAGCCACGGCUAACUACGUG